UCCCAAGUGGUCUAGUGGCUAGGAUAUCUUUGCUUUCACCCAGAAUGCCCGGGUUUGAUUCCUGACGUGUGAA